CAGCCGCCGCGGUAAUACGGAGGGGGCUAGCGUUGUUCGGAAUUACUGGGCGUAAAGCGCACGUAGGCGGCUUGGUAAGUUAGAGGUGAAAGCCUGGAGCUCAACUCCAGAAUUGCCUUUAAGACUGCCGAGCUAGCAGGUGAGAGAGGUAAGUGGAAUUCCGAGUGUAGAGGUGAAAUUCGUAGAUAUUCGGAAGAACACCAGUGGCGAAGGCGGCUUACUGGCUCAUACUGGACGCUGAGGUGCGAAAGCGUGGGGAGCAAACAGGAUUAGAUACCCGAGUAGUCCCUGUCUCUUAUAU
rnacentral:rRNA from 1 species